rnacentral:tRNA from 1 species
GGGCCGGUAGCUCAGCCUGGUACUUGGCGAGGUAAAGCCGAGCCUCGCGAGCAGGAAAGAGCACUUGACUUUUAAUCAAGUGGUCGCGAGUUCGAAUAGGCUAAGGCGUAAGCCUUAAAAAGAAAGUCUCGUCCGGCCCA